rnacentral:rRNA from 1 species
CCUACGGGAGGCUGCAGUGGGGAAUAUUGGGCAAUGGGCGCAAGCCUGACCCAGCAACGCCGCGUGCAGGAAGAAGGCUUUCGGGUUGUAAACUUCUUUUGUCAGGGAAGAGUAGAAGACGGUACCUGACGAAUAAGCCACGGCUAACUACGUGCCAGCAGCCGCGGUAAUACGUAGGUGGCAAGCGUUGUCCGGAGUUACUGGGUGUAAAGGGCGUGUAGCCGGGUUGACAAGUCAGAUGUGAAAUCCUGCGGCUUAACCGCAGAACUGCAGUGGAAACUGGUGAGCUUGAGUACUGGAGAGGCAGACGGAAUUCCUAGUGUAGCGGUGAAAUGCGUAGAUAUUAGGAGGAACACCAGUGGCGAAGGCGGUCUGCGGGACAGCAACUGACGGUGAGGCGCGAAAGCGUGGGGAGCAAACAGGAUUAGAUACCCGAGUAGUC